rnacentral:rRNA from 1 species
UACGUAGGGUGCAAGCGUUAAUCGGAAUUACUGGGCGUAAAGCGUGCGCAGGCGGUUGUGCAAGACAGAUGUGAAAUCCCCGGGCUUAACCUGGGAACUGCGUUUGAAACUGCAAGGCUAGAGUGUGACAGAGGGGGGUGGAAUUCCACGUGUAGCAGUGAAAUGCGUAGAGAUGUGGAGGAACACCGAUGGCGAAGGCAGCCCCCUGGGUUAACACUGACGCUCAGGCACGAAAGCGUGGGGAGCAAACAGG